AGAGUUUGAUCAUGGCUCAGAAUCAACGCUGGCGGCGUGCCUCAGACAUGCAAGUCGAACGAUUAAAGCUCUCUUCGGAGAGUGUAUAGAGUGGCGCACGGGUGAGUAACACGUAAGUAAUCUACCUUCGAGUGGGGAAUAACGUCCGGAAACGGACGCUAAUACCGCAUAAUGCAGCGGCAUCGUAAGAUGACAGUUGUUAAAGAUUUAUCGCUUGAAGAGGAGCUUGCGGCAGAUUAGCUAGUUGGUAAGGUAAUGGCUUACCAAGGCUACGAUCUGUAACCGGUCUUAGAGGACGGUCGGUCACACUGACACUGAAUAACGGGUCAGACUCCUACGGGAGGCAGCAGUCGGGAAUUUUGGGCAAUGGGCGAAAGCCUGACCCAGCAACGCCGCGUGAAGGAUGAAGUAUUUCGGUAUGUAAACUUCGAAAGAAUAGGAAGAAUAAAUGACGGUACUAUUAU
rnacentral:rRNA from 1 species